CCUACGGGAGACAGCAGUGAGGACUAUUGGUCCAUGGGCGCGAGCCUGAACCCGCCAAGUAGCGUGAAGGAUGCCUGCCCUACGGGUUGUAAACUUCUUUUAUCAAGGAAUAAAGUGAGGCACGUGUGCCUUUUUGUAUGUACUUUAUGAAUAAGGAUCGGCUAACUCCGUGCCAGCAGCCGCGGUAAUACGGAGGAUCCGAGCGUUAUCCGGAUGUAUUGGGUUUAAAGGGAGCGGAGAUGGGUUGUUAAGUCAGUUGUGAAAGUUUGCGGCUCAAACGUAAAAUUGCAAUUGAUACUGGCAGUCUUGAGUACAGUUGAGGUAGGCGGAAUUCGUGGUGUAGCGGUGAAAUGCUUAGAUAUCACGAAGAACUCCGAUUGCGAAGGCAGCUUACUAAGCUGCCACUGACAUUGAUGCACGAAAGUGUGGGUAUCAAACAGGAUUAGAUACCCUGGUAGUC
rnacentral:rRNA from 1 species